rnacentral:rRNA from 1 species
UACGGGGGGGGCAAGCGUUGUUCGGAAUUACUGGGCGUAAAGGGCUCGUAGGCGGCCAACUAAGUCAGACGUGAAAUCCCUCGGCUUAACCGGGGAACUGCGUCUGAUACUGGAUGGCUUGAGUUUGGGAGAGGGAUGCGGAAUUCCAGGUGUAGCGGUGAAAUGCGUAGAUAUCUGGAGGAACACCGGUGGCGAAGGCGACAUCCUGGACCAACACUGACGCUGAGUGAGCGAAAGCCAGGGGAGCAAACGGG